rnacentral:rRNA from 1 species
AGAGUUUGAUCCUGGCUCAGAUUGAACGCUGGCGGCAUGCCUUACACAUGCAAGUCGAACGGCAGCACGGGAGCAAUCCUGGUGGCGAGUGGCGAACGGGUGAGUAAUAUAUCGGAACGUGCCCAGUCGUGGGGGAUAACGCAGCGAAAGCUGUGCUAAUACCGCAUACGAUCUAUGGAUGAAAGCGGGGGAUCGCAAGACCUCGCGCGAUUGGAGCGGCCGAUAUCAGAUUAGGUAGUUGGUGGGGUAAAGGCCCACCAAGCCGACGAUCUGUAGCUGGUCUGAGAGGGCGACCAGCCACACUGGAACUGAGACACGGUCCAGACUCCUACGGGAGGCAGCAGUGGGGAAUUUUGGACAAUGGGCGCAAGCCUGAUCCAGCAAUGCCGCGUGCAGGAUGAAGGCCUUCGGGUUGUAAACUGCUUUUGUACGGAACGAAACGGCGAGCUCUAAUAAAGCUUGCUAAUGACGGUACCGUAAGAAUAAGCACCGGCUAACUACGUGCCAGCAGCCGCGGUAAUACGUAGGGUGCAAGCGUUAAUCGGAAUUACUGGGCGUAAAGCGUGCGCAGGCGGUUAUAUAAGACAGAUGUGAAAUCCCCGGGCUCAACCUGGGACCUGCAUUUGUGACUGCAUAGCUAGAGUACGGUAGAGGGGGAUGGAAUUCCGCGUGUAGCAGUGAAAUGCGUAGAUAUGCGGAGGAACACCGAUGGCGAAGGCAAUCCCCUGGACCUGUACUGACGCUCAUGCACGAAAGCGUGGGGAGCAAACAGGAUUAGAUACCCUGGUAGUC